GUGGGGAAUCUUAGACAAUGGGCGCAAGCCUGAUCUAGCCAUGCCGCGUGAGCGAUGAAGGCCUUAGGGUUGUAAAGCUCUUUCGUUGGGGAAGAUAAUGACUGUACCCCAAGAAGAAGCCCCGGCUAACUCCGUGCCAGCAGCCGCGGUAAUACGGAGGGGGCUAGCGUUGUUCGGAAUUACUGGGCGUAAAGCGCACGUAGGCGGACAUUUAAGUCAGGGGUGAAAUCCCGGGGCUCAACCUCGGAACUGCCUUUGAUACUGGGUGUCUUGAGUAUGAGAGAGGUGUGUGGAACUCCGAGUGUAGAGGUGAAAUUCGUAGAUAUUCGGAGGAACACCAGUGGCGAAGGCGGCUCACUGGCUCGAUACUGACGCUGAGGUGCGAAAGCGUGGGGAGCAAACAGGAUUAGAAACCCGGGUAGUCC
rnacentral:rRNA from 1 species